UUUAUUGGAGAGUUUGAUCCUGGCUCAGGACGAACGCUGGCGGCGUGCCUAAUACAUGCAAGUCGAGCGCUUGCAUAUUGAAAGCUUGCUUUCAAUAUGCU
rnacentral:rRNA from 1 species